rnacentral:rRNA from 1 species
AUUGAACGCUGGCGGCAGGCCUAACACAUGCAAGUCGAACGAGUGGCGGACGGGUGAGUAAUGUCUGGGAAACUGCCCGAUGGAGGGGGCUAACUACUGGAAACGGUAGCUAAUACCGCAUACCAUCGGAUGUGCCCAGAUGGAAUUAGCUAGUAGGUGGGGUAACGGCUCACCAAGGCGACGAUACCUAGCUGGUCUGAGAGGAUGACCAGCCACACUGGGACUGAGACACGGUCCAGACUCCUACGGGAGGCAGCAGUGGGGAAUAUUGCACAAUGGGCGCAAGCCUGAUGCAGCCAUGCCGCGUGUAUGAAGAAGGCUUUCGGGUUGUAAAGUACUUUCAGCGAGGAGGCGUUACUCGCAGAAGAAGCACCGGCUAACUCCGUGCCAGCAGCCGCGGUAAUAC